UGACUGGCGGGUCCGUUGUGGACA
rnacentral:siRNA from 1 species